AGAGUUUGAUCCUGGCUCAGGAUGAACGCUGGCGGCGUGCUUAACACAUGCAAGUCGAACGGGAAACCUUUUAUUGAAGCUUCGGCAGAUUUAGCUGGUUUCUAGUGGCGGACGGGUGAGUAACGCGUGGGUAACCUGCCUUAUACAGGGGGAUAACAACCAGAAAUGGUUGCUAAUACCGCAUAAGCGCACAGGACCGCAUGGUCCGGUGUGAAAAACUCCGGUGGUAUAAGAUGGACCCGCGUUGGAUUAGCUAGUUGGCAGGGUAACGGCCUACCAAGGCGACGAUCCAUAGCCGGCCUGAGAGGGUGAACGGCCACAUUGGGACUGAGACACGGCCCAGACUCCUACGGGAGGCAGCAGUGGGGAAUAUUGCACAAUGGGGGAAACCCUGAUGCAGCGACGCCGCGUGAAGGAAGAAGUAUCUCGGUAUGUAAACUUCUAUCAGCAGGGAAGAUAGUGACGGUACCUGACUAAGAAGCUCCGGCUAACUACGUGCCAGCAGCCGCGGUAAUACGUAGGGGGCAAGCGUUAUCCGGAUUUACUGGGUGUAAAGGGAGCGUAGACGGACUGGCAAGUCUGAUGUGAAAGGCGGGGGCUCAACCCCUGGACUGCAUUGGAAACUGUUAGUCUUGAGUGCCGGAGAGGUAAGCGGAAUUCCUAGUGUAGCGGUGAAAUGCGUAGAUAUUAGGAGGAACACCAGUGGCGAAGGCGGCUUACUGGACGGUAACUGACGUUGAGGCUCGAAAGCGUGGGGAGCAAACAGAAUUAGAUACCCUGGUAGUCCACGCCGUAAACGAUG
rnacentral:rRNA from 1 species